AUUGAACGCUGGCGGAAUGCUUUACACAUGCAAGUCGAACGGCAGCACGGACUUCGGUCUGGUGGCGAGUGGCGAACGGGUGAGUAAUGUAUCGGAACGUGCCCAGUCGUGGGGGAUAACGUAGUGAAAAUUACGCUAAUACCGCAUACGACCUAUGGAUGAAAGCGGGGGAUCGCAAGACAUCGCGCGAUUGGAGCGGCCGAUAUCAGAUUAGGUAGUUGGUGGGGUAAAGGCCCACCAAGCCAACGAUCUGUAGCUGGUCUGAGAGGACGACCAGCCACACUGGAACUGAGACACGGUCCAGACUCCUACGGGAGGCAGCAGUGGGGAAUUUUGGACAAUGGGCGCAAGCCUGAUCCAGCCAUUCCGCGUGCAGGAUGAAGGCCCUCGGGUUGUAAACUGCUUUUGUACAGAACGAAAAGGUUUCUACUAAUACUAGGAGCUCAUGACGGUACUGUAAGAAUAAGCACCGGCUAACUACGUGCCAGCAGCCGCAGUAA
rnacentral:rRNA from 1 species